GCAAGUCGAACGGUAACAUUUCUAGCUUGCUAGAAGAUGACGAGUGGCGGACGGGUGAGUAAUGCUUGGGAACUUGCCUUUGCGAGGGGGAUAACAGUUGGAAACGACUGCUAAUACCGCAUAAUGUCUUCGGACCAAACGGGGCUUCGGCUCCGGCGCAAAGAGAGGCCCAAGUGAGAUUAGCUAGUUGGUAAGGUAACGGCUUACCAAGGCGACGAUCUCUAGCUGUUCUGAGAGGAAGAUCAGCCACACUGGGACUGAGACACGGCCCAGACUCCUACGGGAGGCAGCAGUGGGGAAUAUUGCACAAUGGGGGAAACCCUGAUGCAGCCAUGCCGCGUGUGUGAAGAAGGCCUUCGGGUUGUAAAGCACUUUCAGUUGUGAGGAAAAGUUAGUAGUUAAUACCUGCUAGCCGUGACGUUAACAACAGAAGAAGCACCGGCUAACUCCGUGCCAGCAGCCGCGGUAAUACGGAGGGUGCGAGCGUUAAUCGGAAUUACUGGGCGUAAAGCGCACGCAGGCGGUUUGUUAAGCUAGAUGUGAAAGCCCCGGGCUCAAACUGGGAUGGUCAUUUAGAACUGGCAGACU
rnacentral:rRNA from 1 species